GAUGAACGCUGGCGGCGUGCCUAAUACAUGCAAGUCGAGCGAACGGACGAGAAGCUUGCUUUUCUGAUGUUAGCGGCGGACGGGUGAGUAACACGUGGAUAACCUACCUAUAAGACUGGGAUAACUUCGGGAAACCGGAGCUAAUACCGGAUAAUAUUUUGAACCGCAUAGUUCAAAAGUGAAAGACGGUCUUGCUGUCACUUAUAGAUGGAUCCGGGCUGCAUUAGCUAGUUGGUAAGGUAACGGCUUACCAAGGCAACGAUGCAUAGCCGACCUGAGAGGAUGAUCGCCCACACUGGAACGGAGACACGGUCCAGACUCCUACGCGAGGCACCACUAGGGAAUAUGUCGCGAUGGGCGGAGGCCGGACCGAGCCACGCCGCGUGGGUGAUGAAGGUCUUCGGAUUGUAAAACGCUGUUAAUAGGAAAGAACAUAGGAGUAACUAACUGAGCAUGUUAAGACGGUACCCAAAGAGAAAGCGACGGCUAACUACGUG
rnacentral:rRNA from 1 species